UUGCACAGUCAUGAAGAAAAAGAAAAGAAAAGAAAAAUAGCAAUAAACACCGCGAGAAAGUGUGAAAUGCACCCUCGUGAGUAGAAUAAAUCAGUUAAGCCCAUUGUUGAACCAUAGUUUAGUUUAAGAUGUUGAAUUAGUCUGAGUCGCAUAUAUAUACAUAAGUCUUGAUUUAAGCUAUAAUUUUUCUGAUUUGAGCAAGAUAACAUGAACAUUCUACACCGAAAUCAAGUAUUGGGUGAACACAACACACAUACACAGCAUCUGUAUAGCAUUUGUGAAUUAUAUGAGUAUAUGACUUUAUGCCUGCAGCUUGGUUUGAAUCUGUAUUCUCGAAUCUAGAAAAAAAAUUCGCGAAGGCAAAUUAGACUGAAUUUUUAGGAUGGUUGGGACAAUGUGAGAAUUAGUUGCAUAAUAAUAUAGUUGCAUUUUUAUUAUUC
rnacentral:lncRNA from 1 species